rnacentral:rRNA from 1 species
CCUACGGGAGGCAGCAGUAGGGAAUAUUGCUCAAUGGGGGAAACCCUGAAGCAGCAACGCCGCGUGGAGGAUGAAGGUUUUCGGAGUGUAAACUCCUGUUGUUAGAGAAGAGAAUGACGGUACCUAACGAAUAAGCACCGGCUAACUCCGUGCCAGCAUCCGCGGUAAUACGGAGGGGGCAAGCGUUACCCGGAAUGACUGGGCGUAAAGAGAGCGUAGGCGGGAUCGCAAGUCAGUUGUGAAAUCCUAUGGCUGAACCGUAAAACUGCAUUUGAAACUGUUACUCUUGAGUAUGGGAGAGGUAGGUGGAAUUCUUGGUGUAGCGGUGAAAUCCUUAGAUAUCACG